UGCACGUCAUUCAUCAACUGUCACUUUGUAUCGUGAAGAUUAGAAAUAAAUGAUCUGCACCGGACGAGACCGUGAGUCGCUGGCUGGCCUGGUUGCGUUAAAGAAAAUGAGCAAAACAUGGGUUCUGGUGGAAUGGAGGGAGGAGCCUCCCACCUAUGAUAUUGUCCCUAAAAAGGACAUACUAAAAAAAAAGUUUGAACCUGGAGAUGUUGUGGAUGUGGCUUAUGAAGAGGAAAGUUCCCCAGCCACAGUUAUAGAUAUUGAUGAGAGCAAAGAUACCCUCAGGAGGAGGAUGUUUAGGCUAGAGGGGAAAAGAAAAAAUCAGCCAUGUUUGCAAAAUGAUGCAAAAAGAGUAGCAAAGAAAAAAAAAACGUACACUCCAACUCAUUCCCCAUCUCACUCCAAAACGUCCUCAUCAUCUGAUCAAGAGCCUCCAGUCAAACAUCAAGUCAUCCACCGAAAGGACAGUAUGUUAAUGCAAGAGAUUAACAGCAUGGAGAGUCAAGCUGGAGAGCAUUCAAGCCGAGAAACUCAACUUGAGAGAGAAAUUCUCAAAUUAAAAAAAGAAAAUGAGAAUCUAAGAGCACUUAAUAUAGCUCUGCAACAAGAAAUUCUUCCAAUGCUCAAGUGCAGCAUGAACCAGGACACUCUUGUUGCUCAACCAACCACAAGAUUCAAGUCAGAAGAAUCCCCCUGAAAAGACACAGGGGCUAGGAAUUAGUUCAGCCGUCCUGACAAGUUGUGGACGGGGGGGCACAUCAUGUUCUGCCAUGGUGAAAGAUCUGGCAGUGGCAGUGUUUGGGAGAGAGACACUGGCCACACAUGGGCUGUCUGGAAGGGCUGGCAAUGCUAACACAGGCGCUAUGGCAAAGCCAGCUCUUGACCAGGACAAAGUUGUGCUGAUCCUAGACACAGUACAAAAAAAGUUCCCUGAUGUUCCAAAAAAGUUCAUCAGGGCAGCACUAAGAGAAAAGUUAAAUGAUGAGCACAAGUUACGAGUAAGGAAAACAGUGUAGAGGCUUCAUUUGGCUGUGAAUUGGUCUCUGCUUCGCUCUGCUCUUACAGUUUCAAUAAAUACAAUAAAUAAUUUGUGA